rnacentral:rRNA from 1 species
AGAGUUUGAUCCUGGCUCAGAACGAACGCUGGCGGCAUGCCUAACACAUGCAAGUCGAACGAACCCUUCGGGGUUAGUGGCGCACGGGUGCGUAACGCGUGGGAAUCUGCCCUUUGCUUCGGAAUAACAGUUAGAAAUGACUGCUAAUACCGGAUGAUGUCUUCGGACCAAAGAUUUAUCGGCAAAGGAUGAGCCCGCGUAGGAUUAGGUAGUUGGUGGGGUAAAGGCCUACCAAGCCGACGAUCCUUAGCUGGUCUGAGAGGAUGAUCAGCCACACUGGGACUGAGACACGGCCCAGACUCCUACGGGAGGCAGCAGUGGGGAAUAUUGGACAAUGGACGCAAGUCUGAUCCAGCAAUGCCGCGUGAGUGAUGAAGGCCUUAGGGUUGUAAAGCUCUUUUACCAGGGAUGAUAAUGACAGUACCUGGAGAAUAAGCUCCGGCUAACUCCGUGCCAGCAGCCGCGGUAAUACGGAGGGAGCUAGCGUUGUUCGGAAUUACUGGGCGUAAAGCGCACGUAGGCGGUUACUCAAGUCAGAGGUGAAAGCCCGGGGCUCAACCCGGAACUGCCUUUGAAACUAGGUAACUAGAAUCCUGGAGAG